rnacentral:rRNA from 1 species
CUUUCUCCGCCGGCGACCGGCGCACGGGUGAGUAACACGUAUGCAACCUCGCCCCUGUCAGGGGGACAACCCGCCGAAAGGCGGGCUAAACCCGCGUACAUGCCACCGGGGCAUCCCGGAGGCAGGAAAGGCUUCGGCCGGACAGGGAUGGGCAUGCGGCGCAUUAGGCAGUAGGCGGGGUAACGGCCCACCUAACCGACGAUGCGUAGGGGUUCUGAGAGGAAGGUCCCCCACACUGGUACUGAGACACGGACCAGACUCCUACGGGAGGCAGCAG